rnacentral:rRNA from 1 species
UACAGAGGGGGCAAGCGUUGUUCGGAAUUACUGGGCGUAAAGAGCGUGUAGGCGGCUUGGCGAGUCUUGCGUGAAAUCCUGCGGCUCAACCGCAGGCGGUCGCAGGAAACUGCCUCGCUAGAGUCCGGAAGAGGAGAGCGGAAUUCCUGGUGUAGCGGUGGAAUGCGCAGAUAUCAGGAAGAACACCCGUGGCGAAGGCGGCUCUCUGGGACGGUACUGACGCUGAGACGCGAAAGCGUGGGGAGCGAACAGG